GACGAACGCUGGCGGCGUGCCUAAUACAUGCAAGUCGAACGGUCUUUUCUAUGGAAGCUUGCUUCCACUGAGAAGAUAGUGGCGAACGGGUGAGUAACACGUGGGUAACCUGCCCAUAAGAGGGGGAUAACAUCCGGAAACGGGUGCUAAUACCGCAUAGUUUUCUUGAUCGCAUGAUUGAGAAAAGAAAGACGGCCUUUGUGCUGUCGCUUAUGGAUGGACCCGCGGCGUAUUAGUUAGUUGGUGAGGUAACGGCUCACCAAGACGAUGAUACGUAGCCGACCUGAGAGGGUGAUCGGCCACAUUGGGACUGAGACACGGCCCAAACUCCUACGGGAGGCAGCAGUAGGGAAUCUUCCGCAAUGGACGAAAGUCUGACGGAGCAACGCCGCGUGAGUGAAGAAGGUUUUUCGGAUCGUAAAACUCUGUUAGUCAGAGAAGAACAAGUUGGAGAGUAACUGCUCCAGCCUUGACGGUAUCUGACCAGAAAGCCACGGCU
rnacentral:rRNA from 1 species